UGCAGCCAGGCACUGUCCGUCCCGGGACCUACGCAGCUGCCAUGGAAGCUCCGGGUUUCGCAGGAGACUGGAAUAAGAUCGGAAUAAUUCCAACAGAUGCUCCAACCAUCCCUCAUGGACCACACGCACUCUUGGAUGCUGAAGAGCAGGCUGGGGUCUGGGGCAGCCUUUAGGGGCUCUUGGGACCCCAAAGGUGUCCAGCUUGGAUGUCUCCAGCAGAUCUUUCUGGAAAUCUGGGACACCAAGGAGGAGCACAAAUGCUGGUCUUACUACUAAGCAAUAUGUCCCUCGGAUCCAAAGGAGAGCAGGUGACCUGGGUGCAGCCACAGCCAGCUGCCACCUCCCUGGAGUCCCUCAUGAAGCAAUGCAUUCAGGGCAGAAUCCAUUGCUGCCUCAGCCCCCUUCAAAGACCAGGCCCAACACCGCACCAGCUCCUUGGACACUGCCCAUCUUCCCAGGGAGAGUCUCGUGCUCAGAGAGGCUAUAAAUAUACGCCGGACAGUCAAGAGUUUCCGUCGCCAACAGAAGAGCUGAGCAAAAGGUGAAAUAAACAUCCCGUGGCUGCAAAUUAA
ensembl:lncRNA PRKAR1B-AS2 PRKAR1B antisense RNA 2